UACGUAGGUGGCAAGCGUUGUCCGGAAUUAUUGGGCGUAAAGGAUGCGUAGAUGGUUCAGUAAGUUACUGGUGGGAAAUCGAGGCCCAACCUCGUGGAAGUUAGUAAUACUGUUGAACUUGAGUGCAGGAGAGGUUAACGGAACUCCAUGUGUAGCGGUAAAAUGCGUCGAUAUAUGGAAGAACACCAAUAACGGCGAAGGCAGUUAACUAUUCUGCUACUGACAUUGAGGCACGAAAGCGUGGGGAGCAAAACGG
rnacentral:rRNA from 1 species